UGCCUUCGUGUUGCCCAUUCAUUCCUGUCCAGAAUGAAUAUGGUGUCAAAAAAGGCAAACAGGAAUUUUUGCUUAGACUGCUAAGGAGCUGGUUAUACAACUUCUCUCUGUUUUUGCAAGAACAGAA
rnacentral:snoRNA from 1 species